CAUUUUACCUUGUCAUCCUCUUACUUGUGUAUGUGUCUAUGCCUCCCAGCAUUUGACAGUACCUGAAGGUCAAAGCCUAUCUGCUGUUUACCCUUACAAUUCUAUUCACUCGGCACGCACUAGGCACAGAAUAAAUGCCAUUCAUCCCUACUUUUACUUCAGGGUACAUUUUAGAGAUCUAAGAUUUGGUGUAUCUUUCCCAUUAUCCAUUCUUAUUGCCUCAAGGCUCUCCUCUUAUAAAUCUAGUGGUAUGCAUUACUUUGGGGGUAAGGACAAAUUUAUCCAGAACAGAGAAGAUUUAGUUCAGUCUUUAGUUUUAAAAUAAGCAUUUUUAAGUAAUAGCAGAGACAAAAGUCUGAAAGCCAACAUAGUUUUAAUUUAAAAGAAAUUUGAUUUUGCUACAGCUUUUUGGCCAGGAGUAAGUGAGGAUGCUGUUUCGAAAGCUGGUUUUGCAUCUUAAGCAGUACGGUGUGGGUCUUAGGGGCUGGAGUGUAUCUUGCAGGAAACACAGAGUAGGCAAGAAUGUGAGGUGGUGUAAGACUAGUUUGUCUGGUUCAAAAAGUAAAAAAGAAGACUGAAAAAAGUAGGAAAUCUAACCCAAAGCAAUCAAUCUUUGAGAAGAGCCCAGCACACUUCCCUUCCAAUUGAUUUGUCCUACACCCCUCCAUGAGCCUAAGCAUUAGAGCAGAAAUGACUGAGGGUAGCAUCCAAGCCACUGGGCCAAGGGGCACUGGUACGAUGAGGAUACCGUGUCCCACAAUUCUAGGGUAGUCUGGGAAAAACAAAGCAGAGUUCCUGAGAAGAAUGCAGUAGUGGCUGACAGAACCAGAAAGGGUGUUGUAGUGAUAUGUGGCCAUGACAUCAGAAGACUAAAAUGAGGCUAUGGAUAUUCCCUAGCAAAUGUCUGGGGAACAGAGGCCAAAGCCGAAAGCUCAAGAAUUAAUGGAAUGACUACACCUCAACGAAGGUUAUAGAUUAGUGAGGACUGAUGAGUACAAACCAGACUCACACAUCCAUCCUCAUCCUCACUCCCCACCCCCAGGCUACAAUAUUACAUAUAUGUCCCCUACUCCUGAGGGAUGGAAAAGAGGAUGGGUAGGAUAAGUUCAAACUGCUUUAAUGGCUAACAAAAUUCACCUUUAUUCCUUUUUAUUUUUAGUUGACAUGUAAAAAUUGUACAUAUUUAUUGGCUACAGAGUGAUAUUUUGAUACAAGUAUAAAGUGUGUAAUGAUCAAAUCAGAGUAAUUAGCACAUCAAUCACCUCAAAUAGUUAUCACUUAUUUGUACUGGGAACACUCGAAAUCCUUUUCUAGCUUUGAAAAAAUAUACAAUAAAUUAUUGUUAACUGUAUUCACCACAUAGCACUAUACAACAGUAGAACAGAAUUUAUUCCUCCUAUAUUGCUGUAAUUUUGUAUCUGUUAAUUAACCUCUCCCUAGCCUCCCCUCCCCCUACCCUUCCCAAUCUCUCAUAACCACAAUUCUACUCUCUAGAUCUAUGAGCUCAUUUUUUAAGUCCCUGCAUUUGAGUGAGAAGAUGAAGUAUUUAUCUUUCUGCGCAUGACUUGCUUUGCUUAACAUAAUAUCCUCCAGAUUCAUCCACGUUGGUGCAAAUGGAAGGAUUCCAUACUUUAUUUUAUGGCUGAUUAUUGUUCCAUUGUGUGUAUACCAUAUUUUCUUUAUUCACCUGUUUAUGGAUAUUUAUGUUGAUUCCAUACGUUUGCUAUUGUGAAUAGUGAUGCAAUAAACAUAGGGGCAUGCGU
rnacentral:lncRNA from 1 species